ACACGCGCACCCCGCUCCUCCUCUCCUCUGCGCCACCGCCGCCCGUCCUCCUCCCCUCACAUCGCGCCCGCACGGCCCUGCUACGCCGUUGUCGCUCGCCCUGGUCGCCUUCACCCUCGCGCGCGCUCGCCAGCUGAGCGCGUCCCUCCUCUCGCGCCGCGCGGCUGGCGACCGGCGCAUUCGCCUCUCGUCUUUGUCCUCUGCCCCGCCGAGAUCGCUCCGUCCUCCGCCCUCCGCCCCAUCGCCCCUCCUCUCGAGGCACUGGCUGGCGCGCUGCCUUCGCCGGAGGAGUGACGGUUGCGGGUCCGAGGCCUCCCAUGCACGCCGUUCGGAGACGGAUCGAUCUUGGUCGGCCGGUCCACAUCACCAUUGUUGUCGUCCUUCGCUCCCUAGGAUGCUAUCCUCGCCACCAUAGGGCCCCAUCGAGCUCGCGCCAUCGUCGUUUCCAUUGAUGGGGAAGCACAAGAUGAUGUGCGCUGCAUCGCUGCUCCUCGGUCGAGCUUGCACCUCCCUUGUGCAGCGUGCCAGCCAGUGCCUCGAGCAGUUGUGCCACGUCGCUGCCAUUGACGGGGAAGCACAAAAUUCUUGACGAAUGGGGUGUGGGGUACUCGACCCUGAUUCAUCAAGGAGCACGAUGACUCGCCACGGUUCGCCUCUCUCUCUCUCUCUCAUGUCAACCCCGAUUUCCUUUUAUUUUGCAGAUCUGCAAUGGCCUGACGAACGAGGCGAUCCUUGGAAGCAGCACGUACACCUCUCUCUCUCUCUCUCACUCAGAUUCCAAAGUUAUUCCUCUCCAUAUUCCAUACCUCUCACCAUUUUUUAUUUUCCUCGGCUUUUAGUUUAUCAUGUGUGUGCCAAUAUCUAAUUCCCCUGGUUAUCAUGUCUAAGUAAGCAUUAUGUUCUCCUUUAUUUAAUUUGAUUAUGCUAUGCAAAGGGAAAUCAAGAAUUACUUUUCUUGGUACAUAUGCAGUGUAUUUUUAUUUCCAGUAGUAACAGCUCAAUUAGAGGUGAGAUGGAGUGACAUAGACAGUUGAAGGCUAUAUAUUAGUUGCAUAGAUUGAGCAAUAUAAAUAUUGCAUCACUGAUGAAUUAGGAGAAGACUAAAUGGUGCAUUUGGCAAAAUAUCUAAUAUGCAGCAUUGGUGUUUAGUGGGUUUUAAACAUUUCUGGGAGCACUCUGCCUAUCUUAUUCCUUCAUUUAAUAUCUGGACAAAUAAAUGCAGGCUCAUUCCUUUCAUAUCUAGACAAAUGGAUCCUAGAGUGCCAACCGCCACCACCAUGCUCCUUCGAAGGCAAGCCCACUUCCUGAGGCCUACUUAUUAUUUCCCCAUCGACACCUCUACCAGAUCAGCCGUAGCAGCGAAACCCAACUGCUGAGAAAAUAUGAGGUGGGCAAGAAUAGAAGAGAGAUGUAGUGCUUUUGUGCUGAUAUUGGUUUGCAUCUAUACUACUAGAAAAUGAGAGAGGGAGCUUUGGUACUGAUAUUAGUUGAGAGAGAGAGUACAAAGUGACAUAGGUAUUAAUUAUAGAGUAAAAACCUUCCUUCUGAAUACACUGUUAUGCUCUACCAUUUUGCUUUGGUGUCUCCAAACACCUUCCUUUUUGAUAAUACAACCAUAUUAGGCAGUACUAUUCAGCUCACAUCUUCGAAUGUUAUUCAGCAGACCCCAUUAGUAAUAUCUAUUAUCUCUUUAAUUCAGCUUUAUAAAUCAGGACAUGUGAUAGAUGGUGUGCGGAUUUAAUCCAGAAAUAAGAGAGCGAUCGAAAUCCCUGGCUCCUCAGAGCUCAGGCGAUUCCGGCCGUCCGAUUGAUCUCCUGAUGCGUUUCCGGCCGUCGGAUCUCGGGUUCGGUUCACGUGAGGCGUAGGAUAUUUACCAGAUCGCCGUGAGCCGUUAGAUAAAAUUCCAAUGCCACCGCGUGUAAAACUAGAUGGUUGCGGAGGGCAUUUUCGUCAUUUCCCAUGGUUGGAAAAAUAUCCAAUCGCCACAUGGGCGUGACCUAGCCGUCGCUUCUCCACAUUCGCUCGUCCCACCUCCUCUGCCUCGCACGCCGCCACCGCUCGCCCUCACGCCGCCGCCGCCUCCGCUCGCCCUCGCGCCGCCCCCUUGCCUCUCUCUCUCUCCCUCCAAGCCCUAGAACCUCACCCGCGCCUCCCAGCUCCGCCGCCGUCCAGGUCCAGCCCCAUGCCACCGUUGUCUUCUCGCCCAGCCGGCCGCCACCACACCGCACGCUCGUGCGCAGGGGCGAGAAGGGGAACCACCGCCCGCUCCCGGAGCGCGAGGAGGACGUGGUGAUGCAGCGCCCAGAUCCACGGCGGCAUCGACGCGCCGUCGUCAACCUGAGCCACCACCGUCCUCGAGGUCGGCCAUGGAGGGGGGGUCCGACCCAGGUACAGCCGUGGACGGAGACACCCCAAACCCUAGCAUUGCUGCUGCUGGUCAAGGUGCACGCACGCGUCCAGCAGCGAACCCUAGCCUCGGACGACAGCAGCGGCCAUCACCAAUGACGGCAGCGACAGGGGGUGAAUUAGUUCUGCAGAUAACAUUCAAUGCACUGUCUGAACUGCGUCCGUGUAACUCGCUCUAGCAUAUCCUGUGUGUGCAUAUCACGUCUGUGGCAUCACCAUGGUGGAACCGAAAAUGGACCUAUCAAGGAGAUGGAUGUGGUUAUACUAGAUGCAGGGUAACCAUAUGUAUGCAGAGAUGCCUGAGAAAUUUGUUAACCAAUUUAUAUGCGUCCUCCAAGAGUGUGGGUUGAUGAUCUGUCGCAAGUUUCUGGUCUUUCUCAAGAAGUAUGUCUUUGGGCCGGUGGAGAGUCAAUACAUGAUUAAGUUCACUAGGUAUACAACUGUUGCGUGAUGGGAGGGUCUAGAAGCAGAAUUUCCUUUCUGCACCUAUGUCCUGACUCCAAUUAAUCAGCUCCCAAGGCCUACAAACACGCCUGAGCGUUUCACAGAUGUGGUUGGGAUUAUCCCAGGUUUCUUUGUUCUUUCAUGUUGGAAUCAGUGACAAUACCUUGCCGGCACUCCUCGUAUUCUCUCCACUAUGUUUGGCUAAGGUUGCAAAGGUGGGUACGAGGAGAUGAGUCUCGUGGCGGUGAGCGGAACGGAGACAAGGAUGGCGACUUAAUGCUUCUCGGAGACCUCAUCUGGAGGUGGUGGCCAAAGGCAAAUGGUACAGAACCUCCAUGAGAUUUUGAAUUCUGCUUGAUGCAUACAAGAAAGGAUAUUGUGAACAUUUGGUUCAUUUUGGUUGUGGAUUGACCUAUGCUGUGCAAGGAAACAUGUUGUCACGCCUUCAACAUUAUCGGCGACCUUUCUGAUUUGGAGUUGUACUUCGUUAUUGUGAAUAAUGAAUAUGGUCAACAAUCUGAAGAAGAGUCACCUUCUGCCGAGAGAGUGAUGCGUGUUACUGCCGGGAGAGCUGCUUCUUGCAGGGAGAGUGAUAUCAACCUGCGAUGUGUUAAGCGGAUCACUGUGUAACUGAAUGAUCAAUCAGAGAAGAGUAUUUUUUCCACCAAAAGUGAGGCCAAUUUGUGUGUUUUUGGUUGUGGCAGACCAUUUUUAGUCAAAUUGAGAAACAACUGCCUUUUGGUCUCGGCCCAUAACCAACCGUGAAAGAUGAGAUGUUUAUGCUGCCCUUCUACCUUCCUCCCUGUCCCUACUUUUCCCCAUCGUGUGUUCGUCUCUCUGAAGUAAAGUAAACAUGAAACUAUAUGCUGAAAAGUGGGUUGAUAAAUAUCCAGUUACUAAAUUCACUAAAUUUGUGAUCCCAAUAGUGUGAUCAAAAUAGUGAAAUGUCAGGGUUUGCUCUACUGCAAAUUUGCAGUUUACUUGAACUUUGUUGUGAUGAGCAAUUCUGGUCUGACCAAACUAAUAAAUGCAUGUGCUUUUCAUGUUUUGUUCCUAGUAAGAAGUUGAUUCUGUAUUUUAUGUAUUUGUUGUGAGCUACUUUUAACUCUGAUAAAGAACGUACAUUGUAUUUUCUUGCUGGUGUCCUUACAUCUUUGAUCUGAUGCUUUAUUACCGGGUUGGGAGUGAUCGCACCCGCAGGGGUGCGACAAGCCACAAUUUCUAUCUGGUCUAUGUUAGGCCUGUCCAGACGACUUCAACUUCUGUACGCUACAUUUUCUUUUGGAUGUGUCAUGUCGUCAUUUCUAUUGGUCUACGUUAUGCCUAAGACCAACCAAGGAUUUAUCAGUUUGGUUGUUAUAAAUUGUCUGUAAGCUACUACAUGUUGUCGUGUCUUUUAUGCCUAAGAUAUUUAGUGCUAAACCUAUCGGCGAAACAUGCUUUCUAUGUUCAUGCAUUGUUUAGAGGCUUCUUAUUGUGUGUAUACAAACAUUUGGACCGGCACCCUCGCGCCAAGGCGUGAUCCCGAUCUAGUUUCAGAAUAUUGUUAGCCCAACAUACAUGAUAUUUGUACAUUAGCAACAUGUAUGUUAGUCCCAAAAUGAAUUUUUGAACUAUGGAUGGUACCACUAAAUUUUUUUGAACCACAUCUAAAUUUCUCAUUUGCUUCUCUGUUUACAUGACCCACAAUGCACUUGAUUUCCAAACUAAUAGAUUUGGAAACAAUAGUAGUUUUGGUUUGUUUUUAUUCAACAACAGUUGCAUAUUCUUGCUAUAAUCUGUGAUAUGGUCUGUGCUGGCUAUCAUGCUUCUUAAUUUCCAAUAUAUUGAUCCAACAGUUACAGCAUGGCCUGAUAGACAUUGAAAUCAAUUUGUUCGGGCUGAGAACCAUUCUAUAUAAUACUCACCAUUGUUUCGUUUCUUUUGGUCUAGGACAAAGGGUAUAGGAAUGUUUGUAUUCAGAUAGAAGGCUGAAUUAGAUGCAUUCUUCGAGAGAAAUUUACAUCUUUUUACUAAUUCCUCUCUUUGUUUUGUUUGUUUGGCUAUUUCAGAAUGACAACGAGAUACACCUCCUUGAUGAAAAUAUAUGGGCAGUCGUGUAGUCAUCACCGAGGAAGAUAUUGUAUGUAGCUUACUAUAUUUUUGGACUGCCAAAACAUGAGAAGGAAAGUGCGCCUUUGCUUUGGUCUUGCUGUUGUUAUGAGGUCCAUUUGUAAAGAGCACGGUCCCAUCCUUCCAUUAUCAUGGUCCCAUUAGGGGGCAACACAUAACCAGCGAUAAUGAGGUGCCGUUGGCCAUGGGUGCAGUUGUCCACAGCUAGGGGUGGGAUUGUUAGUUUGUUACAACAUAUGGAUGAUAUGCACAUGGAAGGCUGAUAUAAACAAGCUAUAAUUGUUUGGGCUAUGAUUCGCAACAUAGAUUGGGGAUUUUAAAAUGUCAGACAAGAAAGUUAUCGGCCUAGUCGUCGCUUGAGUCGGAUGAGGUCAUGGUUACUUUACCUGAUGAGUUACUGCCCAGGAAGAGCACAAUCCACCACCGCUAUAUAGCAGAUGGAGCUACCAAGGACGUCGUCAUAUUGACCACCGAUGACCUACAUCCUUUCGCUUCCCCUCAUGUUUUGCAGAAUAGAAGUGGCCUGAAAGCCACUUGAAUGAAAUCUUGUGUCUUGCGAUGUGUCAAUGCCAUGAAUUAGAUGUUUGUAGUAUAUUUUUUUAAUUGAAAUGUUUACCUGUGAUAUUGAGCACAGUACAUUAGUGCAUGGAUCAGCAUUGCAGUUUCAACUCUUUUGAUGUAUGGUGAUCUAUGUUUUGUGCAGACUAACAAGGCUUUGUAGUGAAUUUUUAUAGGUCACAUGCGACAAGUUGCCCUUCGUAUGUUAAUCUUGAUACUUUGUACUGAAUUUUUAUGCGAACCAUUUAUUUGUCCGGAUUGUCUUA